CACGUAGGGGGCGAGCGUUGUCCGGAUUUAUUGGGCGUAAAGAGCUCGUAGGUGGCUCGGUAAGUCGGGUGUGAAAUUUCGAGGCUCAACCUCGAGACGCCACCUGAUACUGCUGUGGCUAGAGUCCGGUAGGGGAGCGUGGAAUUCCUGGUGUAGCGGUGAAAUGCGCAGAUAUCAGGAGGAACACCAGCGGCGAAGGCGGCGCUCUGGGCCGGUACUGACACUGAGGAGCGAAAGCGUGGGGAUCAAACGGG
rnacentral:rRNA from 1 species